rnacentral:lncRNA from 1 species
AUCUUGAUCUCUAUCAGUUGCUCAAUUGGUUGGCGGCAUAUAGGGCAAUUGUUUGAUUGAACCCGCAAAGCUUUUGCACACUCGCCGCACAUACACUGAAAAAUACAACAAAUGUAAUAUGAAAAUAAUCAAAAUAGUGAAGUGGAUAUAAUGCAACAUAAUACACAUUAUGUGAAACCCAAACAAACAACUAGUAAUGAUACCAUGUGUCGGCAAGGUAAGACAGCAGUAUCCUUUGGUUCUGUCAUGCAUAUUACACACUCCUUUCCAGGAUCAUUACGAUCGAAAUCAGGUGCUGUUGAGUUACCAAUUCCAUACAACUCUCUG